UAUGUGUGGGUCGUCAUAGUGUGCGGUAACCCGGGACUUAGCGAGACAAGCUACAUUGAUCGUUGGUGUGAUUUGUUUCACUUGCGGUUGUGCUCUCCUGCUCACUCGCCACUUCCUCUCCUUGUCUAGAAUUGUAUGGUCAGCACUGUUUAGUUGUGAAGCGUUAACCAAUCAGAUUUCUCUACCUGCUUCAUAAUUCUAAGUCAGUUGCCCCUAUCUUGGCUUACUAUGGUGAGGCACUACUGUAUUAUGGUGAGGCAUAACGGCAUGAAUGUAACCAUAUAAUCUAAUAGAAGCUAAGCGAGACUUUCAUCCGCAAGAAUUGUUUUCAAAAGUUAUGUGUCACUAAAAAUACAUUCGGUGGAAAAUGUUGAAAACAUUGAAAUAUGGAAGGAAAAGUUGCCGUGUGUUUCAACAGACAAUAGUAUCGAGAAGAUCGUUUUUGGCUGAAGCGUACCGGUGCACAGAAGCAUGGCAAGCACGACUUCAGUCUCCAUUAUUGCAAAAAAUUAAACCCCAUAGUUUUUUCAUAGAGAUAGAUCAUAAAUAUUCUAUUACUGGCAAAUAUAGCGCGAUCGACGUUGAUCUAUUUGCAAAUACAAUACAGGACAAAGAACAGGUGGAAGAAUUGUUGUCCACAAUUUAUAAUUUGAGGUUAACCUCCGAUACAACGAAUACAUUGGAGUCGACGCAUCACGCUACCAUUAGAUACUUAUUGGAUAAUGAUUUAACAGAAGAACUUGUGACUGUUUUGCAUGACAGACUUAAUUAUGGAAUUUUUCCAGAUUAUCAGUGUUAUAAUAUUCUUAUGGAUACAUAUUUAAAAAAGGAAGAUUAUGCUAGUGCUGCAAAAAUUGCUGUACUACCUAUGCUACAAGAAGACAACACCAAUCCAAUAACUAAUGCAUUAUCCAUUUAUUCUUGUUAUAAAUAUUUAGAAAAACCUGAAGUUUGGAUAAAACCACAGCCAGAGGAAGAUACUGGUGAAGAAAUUAAAGUACGUGUACAUUACCUUCAAAAUGAGUACUUUGAUGACCAUUUUGAUCUCACAGAUCCACGUGAUUUAGUAGGAAAAACUUUGGCUUUUUAUGGGAAACUUAUGUGUAACACAUUAGGAAGAACAUGUCAAUUAAGAGGUUUAAUAUUAUAUAAAAAGUAUGAAGAAGUAUCAAAUGUAAUAGAAGAAUGGUUGAAAGAUGUCAAAGAUGAUGUUGUAUAUAAAGAAGUUUUUGAUUUGAUACAGAAAGAUAAUGAAAGUAUACCUGAGGAAGAAAUAAAAAAUGUAAUGCUCAAACUUGACAAAUUGAAAACUCAAAAACUUUGUGAAAACAGUUUAACUAAAGCAAUAGAAAAUGAAGUAAAAUUUGCUGUUGAUAAACAAGCAGAUAUAGAUAUAGCAGAGCAAUUAAAGGCAUACAAUGAUUGGAUAAAGAAAAGGGAAAUAGUGUUACAGAAACAAAACGACAUGCAUAAUCGUGAAGUUAGACUAAAGAAUGUAGAGGAAAUCAAGAAGUCUUUGGCUAAGCAGGAAAGACUAUUGACAUUUUUUGAUAAUGAAGAAGAGAUAGAAUUGAAAAUAGAGGAACUAGAAAAAGCAGACAAAAAAGAAAUGGAACGUGUUCUUAAGCAACAUGGUGCAGAACGUAAAUUAAGAAAAUUAAAGGAAAAAGAAGUAUACAGACCACCCACAUUUUGAAAAUACAAUAAUUAAGUCUGACGCUCUCAUAAUUGAUGAAUAAUAUUGUAGUUAAAAAAUUAUUUAAUAAAUUGCGUUUAAACAAAAUUUGUUUUUGAAAGGAUGAACAUGAUCAGCAGUUAUUCUCUCCAAAUUUGCUCCGACAUUUUUCGUAGAUUCAGAAUCAAUCUAUGAAAGUAACAUAUAUAUUACGUAAAAUUAUGAAAACAAAUAUUAGAUUUUUAA